GACGAACGCUGGCGGCGUGCUUAACACAUGCAAGUCGAACGGUGAAGCUCCAGCUUGCUGGAGUGGAUCAGUGGCGAACGGGUGAGUAACACGUGAGCAACCUGCCCCUGACUCUGGUAUAAGCGCUGGAAACGGCGUCUAAUACUGGAUACGAGAAGGGUCCGCAUGGGCACUUUCUGGAAAGUUUUUCGGUUGGGGAUGGGCUCGCGGCCUAUCAGCUUGUUGGUGAGGUACUGGCUCACCAAGGCGACGACGGGUAGCCGGCCUGAGAGGGCGACCGGCCACACUGGGACUGAGACACGGCCCAGACUCCUACGGGAGGCAGCAGUGGGGAAUAUUGCACAAUGGGCGAAAGCCUGAUGCAGCGACGCCGCGUGAGGGAUGACGGCCUUCGGGUUGUAAACCUCUUUCAGCAGGGAAGAAGCGAAAGUGACGGUACCUGCAGAAGAAGCACCGGCUAACUACGUG
rnacentral:rRNA from 1 species